rnacentral:rRNA from 1 species
CCCUUAGAUGUUCUGGGCCGCACGCGCGCUACACUGACGAUGGCAACGAGUUUUUCCUUCGCCGAAAGGUGUGGGUAAUCUUUUGAAACAUCGUCGUGCUGGGGAUAGAUCAUUGCAAUUUUUGAUCUUGAACGAGGAAUUCCUAGUAAGCGCGAGUCAUCAGCUCGCGUUGAUUACGUCCCUGCCCUUUGUACACACCGCCCGUCGCUACUACCGAUUGAAUGAUCCGGUGAAUAAUUCGGACUGACGCAGUGCUCAGCUUCUGGACGUUGCGUCGGAAAGUUUCAUGAACCUUAUCACUUAGAGGAAGGAGAAGUCGUAACA